rnacentral:rRNA from 1 species
GAGUGGCGCACGGGUGAGUAACGCGUGGAUAUCUGCCUUUUGGUUCGGAAUAACCCCGGGAAACUGGGGCUAAUACCGGAUGGUUCCGGGAUAAAGAUUUAUCGCCAAAAGAUGAGUCCGCGUACGAUUAGCUAGUUGGUGAGGUAAUGGCUCACCAAGGCGACGAUCGUUAGCUGGUCUGAGAGGACGAUCAGCCACACUGGGACUGAGACACGGCCCAGACUCCUACAGGAGGCAGCAGUGGGGAAUAUUGGACAAUGGGGGCAACCCUGAUCCAGCCAUGCCGCGUGAGUGAUGAAGGCCUUCGGGUUGUAAAGCUCUUUUGGCGGGGACGAUGAUGACGGUACCCGCAGAAUAAGCCCCGGCUAACUUCGUGCCAGCAGCCGCGGUAAGACGAAGGGGGCUAGCGUUGUUCGGAAUUACUGGGCGUAAAGCGCGUGUAGGCGGUUAUCCAAGUCGGGUGUGAAAGCCUUGAGCUUAACUCGAGAAAUGCACUCGGUACUGGGUGACUAGAGGACCGGAGAGGAUAGUGGAAGUCCCAGUGUAGUGGUGAAAUACGUAGAGAUUGGGAAGAACACCAGUGGCGAAGGCGGCUAUCUGGACGGUUUC